rnacentral:lncRNA from 1 species
CACUACGAGCACCACGAUCACAACCUCUAGCCUCCUACACAUCCACAAUUAGGAACACAAACCACACUUUACCUGCAUCACAAACACACUAAGAUGCGUGAGUAUUAUCACAAAUACUCAGUGAAUCGAUCAUCCCAUCUACUAGGCUAUACACACAAGCAAAUAAGAUCACAACCACACUACCAAAAACAGCCAAACCAUGCAAUCAAAAGCACAAAGUAUGCUCACAGAAGACUAGUGUCGGUAGAAACCCAAACCUGGUGUAGGUUGACACUACUAUAGAACGGAAAUAGUUUUUCCUUGGUGAUGACCGAUACCCCACCUUGUGUCGAUUGACACCCUACAAAACUGCACUACGACUAAAUGACUGGUGUCGAUCAACAAUCCGCUGGUGUCGUUCGACACACACACACCCUGGAACACCACCCAUGACGAUCUCCUCCGCCAGGAAACCUAAUUCACCAUGAUAUCGACACAGCCAAUAGCCACAUAAGGCCAUACGAACACCUGAAAACAACAAAAAACACAAGGAAAUCAAUCCACACAUCAUAUAAUCAUAAAUCCACACAAUCUUAAUGCUUAGAUAAAACCAUGAUCAUGCACUCACCUCUAGAAAAAGGGAACCCAAACCAACCACAAAAGAAACACACCAAAACAAAUCUCUCACACGUCUCCAGCCUUAGAUCUCCACGUCCAGGAAUAUAUCUACCAAGCAUAGCCACAAAACUCGCUGGAAAACUUC